GAUGAACGCUGGCGGCGUGCCUAACACAUGCAAGUCGAACGAAGCUUGACGGAUGAUUUCUUCGGAAUGAAACCAGAUAUGACUUAGUGGCGGACGGGUGAGUAACACGUGAGCAACCUGCCUUUCAGAGGGGGAUAACGGCUGGAAACGGUCGCUAAUACCGCAUGAUGUGUUCGGAUGGCAUCAUCUGAACAUCAAAGAUUUAUCGCUGAAAGAUGGGCUCGCGUCUGAUUAGAUAGUUGGUGGGGUAACGGCCUACCAAGUCUACGAUCAGUAGCCGGACUGAGAGGUUGAACGGCCACAUUGGGACUGAGAUACGGCCCAGACUCCUACGGGAGGCAGCAGGGGGGAAUAUUGCACAAUGGGGGAAACCCUGAUGCAGCAACGCCGCGUGAAGGAUGACGGUUUUCGGAUUGUAAACUUCUUUUCUUAGUGACGAAGACAGUGACGGUAGCUAAGGAAUAAGCAUCGGCUAACUACGUG
rnacentral:rRNA from 1 species